ACAAUUUAAAUGUUAAAUAGCUUUUAAAUUUCAGCUAGCUAAAUACUUCUUAUGGAAUCAAGGCAUGACUAGUUUUCUUCAGAAGUGCAGCAGUUUAAACAUGGGUUGAAGGUACUAUGGGGAGAUGGACAGCAGACAGUAAUGGAUCAAGAAUGAAGAACUGACAUGGAAACUGUUCUCGUGUGAAAGACUGUUCGGUUCACUGCUACAAGAUUCCUCUUAAGGAUCAAUACUGAGAGGACAGAGGGAAAGUCUUUUUCCAUGUCCUGUAAUGUGACUGUGGGAUGCAAACACCAAAGAAAACACUGAACAGCUAUGAUGGGUAGCUACGAACAAGAGCCUCAUAGGAGCUGAACAGGGAGGGAUGGAGACAUAAACUAGACGGG
rnacentral:lncRNA from 1 species